CAGCACGAGGGCCGCCACGGCCUGCUCACGCGACACUUCCCACUCCCUCGAGAGCCGCGGGAUAUGCACCACGAAAACCCUCACUCGCGGUGGGCCGCAAGUUAGCCGAAUCCUGACCGUCACCAAGAACCUGCGUACCAUAUUCUGGCCACAGCCACGGAGCAGCUGCCUCUCCUCCCUUCAGCACCGGAGGUAAGCAGCACCGCGCCUGUCCCCCGAAUGUAGACUGGGACCCACGCACCGCCCCCUGCCCAUCUCCGCCCCGCAGGCGCGCACCCUCCUUCCUCGCGCGCGCCAUUGCUCCCCCCACCCCCUACAGCCCAAGAUCGCAGAACCGUUCCGAGCCCAGUGCGCGCGGGAAAGGCUGCCGAGGCGCCCAGAGGGAGGCGCGCGCGGGAGCGGCUGGCGUCCUGGGUUCCUGUCCUUUCGGCCUACCCGCUUUUUCGCGCCUUAUCCGCAUCCCCACCGCUCCCCCGCCCCACCACCUUCCCACCCUCAACACGGGCGCCCCACGCGGUGGCAGCCUCCGGGCCUGACGCUUGGACGCAUCUCCAGGCAGCCCGCCCCCUGGCAACAUCCGUCACCUGACACGGCCCUACCAGGAACCGCCGCGCUCCCGCGGGUCCGGUCCUGCUGGGUGCCGCUCCGGGCUCCCUUCCUUUAUCCCUCGCGCCCAGCGUCAAGAGUCCUCCUUUUUUCCAAAUCAGAUUAUUUAAAAGAGAAAAAAAGAAAGAAAGAAAAACAAGGUCAGCUCUUUGCUCUAUCCGCCAAUCAGGAGGCUGAAUGUCAGUUUUGAAAGAAAAUGCCGCUCCGUCCGUUCGGUUUCUAGAUCUGGGAAAACAGCGAAAUUAAAAGAAACCGCUGCACGCACCGACACGACAUCUGGAUACUGAAGGCCGGGCUCGGGACCAGGUAGGUGGAGCCAAUGCCCGGGUCCAGGCUGAGCACGACUCCCCUUCCCCUACCAGCACUGGAUGUCGCCUGAGUUACCGGACUAGGGAUUUUUCCCCCCCUGGGUAAAAUCCUGCCCUGCACCUGCUUCAGCAAGAGAGCCAGAAACAGCUGCCCAGGUCUGUGUCGGUGGAGAUCUGUCUGGGUCGCGGCCCAGACUCGCGGAAGGCUCGCCGCGCGCUCGCGCGCCCCCUGCCGGCAGGGCCCCGGGGCCCCAGCUACCUGGAUCGGGCGCCUCCCGAAGCGGUUGACUCCAUUGGGAUCUGCACCGGCUUCUAGGAGCUGCCGCACCUUCUCCAAUUGUCCCCGUGCCGCGGCGUUGGCCAGGCCCGCAUCGCUGCUGUUACCACCGAGCAUGCCCUUGUCCUCCUCUCGCAUUCCUCAGCCUCCAGACACCGAGCAGUUCGAAUAAUCCACCGCUGGCGGUGAGUUUAGCGACCCUCCACGGCGUUCCACACCGCUGCUGCGCACUCCACCCUCCUCAGGAGAGCAAGGCUUAGCUUCAACCCCCUGUCGCUAUCCUGAAGUUUGCGGCCGGUGCAAUGAUCGAGUGGCUGGUGGUUAGACCUGAGUUGUUUUCUGGAGCCGGAGAACCAGCCGACGCUCGUGGCUUGCUCCUGGGAAAAAGCGUCUGGCGCGACUGCAGCCUGACUCUGGCAGUGUGGGGAGCCAGCUGCGACUGAAUUCGGUUUCCAGCUGGGCGGCGGGGCCGGCUCUCCCCGCCCCCCUAGGCUCCGCCUCCAGCCGGGCAGGCCAGCGCGGGCUCGUCCCUGGGGUUGGGGGAGGCGUCCAGAAGCUGGCAGAUGGCGUCAUAGGCGAUGGGGGCGGUGGUUUAGGGCUGGUGGGGGGUGGCGGAGGGAGGCGGGCAGCGGGCGCAGAAGAUCCUAGGAUUGCUGAGCGAGAGAUCCUGUGAAGGCACCUCCUGGAACCCUCGCCGCUCUGCUGGCUCGGUGUCCGGUAAAGUGAAGGCUACGUGUUUGGAAAUAUUGACCCACAGCGCUCAGCUCCUAAUCCCCAGCAGGCGGAGCAGUGGACUUCCAUUCCUUUAGUCAUAGGCCUACCGGUCUGGAGACAUUAGUGGCUGCAUUGCAAUGGAGUGGCUGAGAGAAAACCUUUGAAAAUAACUCCUACUUUCUUAAGAUGCCUGAAGGUGACAGCUCUGCACCUGUCCUGGAGGGUGAAUUCACCCCCAGGCAGUACUUGAACUUCACGAGUUUCACAUCGUGCAGUAACCUUAGCAAUUUUCUUUUGGGUGUGUCUAUUUGAAUUAGUCAUCCAGAAAAAUAGUGAAAAAUUCUGAGAAUCCUGUUCCGCGCGUGCUUUUAAUUUUUAAUCUUUGAAUUGUUAAUAUGGUUCUGAAAUAAAUAAUUUUCUUUUUAGAAAAGA